rnacentral:lncRNA from 1 species
AUAGUAAGUCUCAAACGUCAACACUUCAAUCAAAACAAGCAUGAAGCAGUACGAACAGAUGGUUGAUGACCCACAAGUAUAGGGGAUCUAUCCUAGUCCUUUCGAUAAGUAAGAGUGUCGAACCCAAUGAGGAGCAGAAGGAUCUGACAAGUGGUUUUCAGCAAGGUAAUAUCUGCAAGCACUGAAAUUAUCGGUAACAAGUAGUUGUGUGGUGAGAAGAUUCGUAGCAAGUAGCAAGUAACAAAAGAAACAACGGUGCAGCAAAGUGGCCCAAUCCCUUUUGUAGCAACGGGCAAGCCUGGACAAAGUCUUAUAGGAGGUAAAGCGCUCCCGAGGACACAUGGGAAUUUCUGUCAAGCUAGUUUUCAUCAUGUUCAUAUGAUUCGCGUUCGUUACUUUGAUAGUUUGAUAUGUGGGUGGACCGGCGCUUGGGUACUGCCCUUACUUGGACAAGCAUCCCACUUAUGAUUAAGCCCUCUCGCAAGCAUCCGCAACUACGAAAGAAGAAUUAAGACAAAGUCUAACCAUAGCAUUAAACUAGUGGAUCCAAAUCAGCCCCUUACAAAGCAACACAUAAAGUAGGGUUUAAGCUUCUGUCACUCUAGCAACCCAUCAUCUAC